CACUUAAUCUCCAAAUUUGAUCUCGGUAAACACGAAUAACGAACUCAAUCGGUAAAGAUUAGUUCAACUGAAAUGUCGUUAAAAUUUGACAGUUCAUAAAAAAGAACUUGUCAAAAGUAACGAAAUUCGGUAAUUUACGUUCAUUACUGAUUAUCGGCAAACUUUUUUGCCACAGCAAUCGGUAAUCUAAUCAUAUUGCUGAAUUUCGGUAAAGUGCAUCUGUCAAAAGUCAAAACGAGACAUGUUUCCGGGUGCCAUCUUCGAAAAAAAAAGGAAGAAGGAUUUUUUGAAGCUGGAAUGAUUUUCUUCGUUGUUUUGGAUAGAGCGCUGUUGAAGGAGUGCCGGAUUCUCACUCUAAAAACCUGCCAGUUUGAUUGCUGCCAGCAGAUAGAAAACCAGCAAAGCUAGCAAAAUAGUCCGCAUCAAGCAAAUCGGUCAUAAAUCCACCCGAAAUGGUAGAUGUCCACAAAGACCGCCCGGAAAAGUGCUCCCUCGUCCGGCAGAGUAAAAAUGCCGCAUCAUCACCGACCGGGAAUGGUAGCUCUGCAAAAAAUCCGUCGCUACCUACAGUCCGUUGUCGUUCCAGCGCUUGGUGCGUGAUUUCUAAGGCGGAUCUGCGCUUCGAAUGCAUCACCGUUGCUGCCCUGCAGGAAGCCAGCGAAGAGUACCGGAUUGUUCAAGGACACCAUCUGUGCACGAUCCAUGCCGAGAGCGUCAGCCGAAGGACAUCCAUCUGGUCCGGCACAUCGGUGGCGAGCGUGCGAGGAAGUGACCCCGGGAGAAGUGUAAAAUUGUAUUCAGGAGUAUGCAUUUUUUUGCGUUAUUUGUUGGUUAUUUGCUUGUAUGAAUAAAAAUGUUGGCAUAUUCAUCA